UCCUUGGCAGUCCUGUGGUCAGGACUCCACACUUUCACUGCCAAGGGUCUAGGUUCAAUUCCUGGUUGGGGAA
rnacentral:tRNA from 1 species